rnacentral:rRNA from 1 species
GUGUCAGCCGCCGCGGUAAUACGUAGGUGGCAAGCGUUGUCCGGAUUUAUUGGGCGUAAAGCGCGCGCAGGCGGUUUCUUAAGUCUGAUGUGAAAGCCCACGGCUUAACCGGGGAGGUGCAUUGGAAACUGGGAGACUUGAGUGCAGAAGAGGAAAGUGGAAUUCCAAGUGUAGCGGUGAAAUGCGUAGAGAUUAGGAGGAAGACCAGUGGCGAAUGCGACUUUCUGGUCUGAAACUGACGCUGAGGCGUGAAAGCAUGGGGAGCAAACAGGAUUAGAUACCCUGGUAGUCCACGCCGUAAACGAUGAAUGCUAAGUGUAGGGGGGUU